rnacentral:rRNA from 1 species
GACGAACGCUGGCGGCGUGCUUAACACAUGCAAGUCGAACGAUGAAGCUGGAGCUUGCUCCGGCGGAUUAGUGGCGAACGGGUGAGUAACACGUGAGCAAUCUGCCCUUGACUCUGGGAUAACUGCGGGAAACUGUAGCUAAUACCGGAUACGAGGCUCGAAGGCAUCUUCGGGUCUGGAAAGAAUUUCGGUCAAGGAUGAGCUCGCGGCCUAUCAGCUUGUUGGUGAGGUAAUGGCUCACCAAGGCGACGACGGGUAGCCGGCCUGAGAGGGUGACCGGCCACACUGGGACUGAGACACGGCCCAGACUCCUACGGGAGGCAGCAGUGGGGAAUAUUGCACAAUGGGCGAAAGCCUGAUGCGGCAACGCCGCGUGAGGGAUGAAGGCCUUCGGGUUGUAAAGCUCUAUCAGCAGGGAAGAAGAUGACGGUACCUGCACAAGAAGCCCCGGCUAACUACGUGCCAGCCGCCGCGGUAA